rnacentral:rRNA from 1 species
AUAAUACUCCAUAGAUUAGAGAUACUGGAAUGUUCUUUAGUCAAAAGUUCCGGCGCCUUAGGAUGGAUCUGCGGUCGAUUAGGUUGUUGUUGGGGUAACGGCCCAACAAGCCUGUAAUCGAUACGGGUUGUGGGAGCAAUAGCCCGGAGAUGGAAUCUGAGACAAGAUUCCAGGCCCUACGGGGCGCAGCAGGCGCGAAAACUUUACAAUGCAGGAAACUGUGAUAAGGGAACCCCGAGUGCCCGUAUACGCAGGCUGUCCAGGUGUUUAAAAGUCAUCUGAAGAAAGGGCCGGGCAAGACCGGUGCCAGCCGCCGCGGUAAUACCGGCGGCUCGAGUGGUGGCCACUAUUAUUGGGCUUAAAGCGUCCGUAGCUGGACUGAUAAGUCUCUUGGGAAAUCCGCCGGCUCAACCGGCGGGCGUCUAAGGGAUACUGUUGGUCUAGGGACCGGGAGAGGUGAGAGGUACUCCGGGGGUAGGAGUGAAAUCCUGUAAUCCCCGGGGGACCACCGAUGGCGAAGGCAUCUCACCAGAACGGCUCCGACAGUGAGGGACGAAAGCUGGGGGAGCAAACCGGAUUAGAUACCCGGGUAGUCCCAGCCGUAAACUAUGCGCGUUAGGUGU